GGUCAGAUCCAGCUUGUUGGCGUUCUCCUGUGAGCCACACUUUCGAUUUGAGCUGUGGAGAGGAAACAAGUACAUUUACGGAGUCUUUUUGCUCAGAUAUUGGAAUGAAAACAAGCCGGAGCGCAGGCAUGAGAGAGGGGAAAGUUUGGGGAUGAGUGUGGACGUAUCAUAGUUGACGGGGAUGAGAUGUUAAUGAGUGCUGACUAUCCCGAUGGGUAUUAUGGGCUUGAAACGUGUGAAUGGCUCAUCAGUGCUCCUGUCAACCAGUUUGUACUAUUACAGAUCCUGAAUUUGGACACCCGGGCUGGAGUUGGCUUUGUAGUGAUUGGUAACGGCGUUGACUUCUCUUCGGAGAGCACCCUCUAUGUUCUGUCUGGCUCCAAUGACAAUGCUGGGACCACACCCAUCCCUGACGAGAUCCUCAGUCCUGGUCAACACCUUUGAAUAUCCUUCAAGACUUCAGAAUCAACCCUUGAUCAUGAAGGGUUCUUGAUGUAUGGUACAUUGGCCACUCAAGCUUCCUUUUGGAGCCAAAAAUUGCUUGGAAGGUUCAGGGUUGGUAAUGUCCCCCAACUAUCAUCAACCAUAUCCUGACAACCAAGACUGUACCUGGCUUAUCAGAGUACCCAGCAUGAAUUGUCUUGUCAGGGUUGAGUUCAUUGCAGUCUU